rnacentral:misc_RNA from 1 species
AAGUCGUAACAAGGUUUCCGUAGGUGAACCUGCGGAAGGACCAUCAUCGAAUUCAUAUCCUCCCCAUUCCGGAGGGGACCCAUGAUAAACCCUUCUGUGCAUCGUAAACCGUUCACUUUGGCUGGUUUUGGUGGUGAGCGUAAACUCGUCUCCAACCUCGCAUUCUCUCCUCCAUAAGGGGGUGGUGUUACGCGUGGCGGCCUGCCGGAGUCCUCCCAUUAAAAACACGUUUUCGAACACGUCUGAAAUUUCCUUUGAGAAAUCAAAGAACCGAAAACAACUUUCAACAACGGAUCUCUUGGCUCUC